AAAAAUUGUUUACAUUCACUUCGAAGUUUGGGAUAUUUGUAUCAGAGGGAAGGUUUACAUUAAAUCACUACAAACAUGCUUGAACCAAACAAGAACCCUCCUCGGACUAAUGGCCUCAAAUUGUCUGAAACGAAGACCAAGAAAAGAGAAAAAUACAUCCCUAAUUCUGAGCCACUUGCACUUCCCUUCUGUCGAAUCUGUGGGAAAAGGGCGUCUGGAAUACACUUUGGGGUGUACAGUUGUGAGGCUUGUAAGGCUUUCUUCAGGAGAUACUUACAAAGAAAGACACCUUUCAAAUGCAACAAGGGAGACAAAUGCGAGAUUGAUGAACAAAAGAAGGGUUUAAAUUGUUCUGCAUGUCGCCUGAAAAAGUGCCUUGAAAAAGGGAUGUCAAAAGAGGGUGUUAGAAUAGGUCGCUAUUCUACAGCGGAAAGGACUAAUGUCAUCAUGGAGGUCAAACGCCUUCACGCCUCCAUAGAAUCGAAAUCUUCAAAUGAUCAAUGUCCUAAAACAUUAAAUCAUGAGGUCAAAGACUCGAUAAUACUUCAGGCUACCAUGGACACACCAGAGACUUCAGGAGAUUCUAUGGAGUUUAAAGAUUCUAUUCUAUGUGUUAUUAACACUCACACUAUGGCGAGAUCAUCUUCAGAUGACAGCAACAGAUCAUUAAGUGACUAUACAGAGAAUUCUUCUACCACUUCGGACCACCCCAUCUUGAUUGAUACCAGUCUUUCUCCGAAUUCCACAGGAUCGGUUGAUAGCGUCGGGUCGUUAGUUCUGGGAUCUACCGGAAGUGAGAUAGAGAUAUUCUCCCCCAGUGCAUUAGAUAUCCUUUGCAGGCAGCAACCCUUGCCCAGAUAUGACAUAGUACCUGAGUGUACUGAUACAGACCAAAUCAUAAAACAACUUAUGACUGGGUACCAAUGUAUACAGCCGUUUUCAAAAUCCUUAACUGACGAGGAGCUGAAUGAGAUUUUUACACACGGACUUGAACAGUAUGAAGAAAAAGUUCGUCUGUUUGGCAAGAUGGAAUAUCUUUCUAUACAAGAAUACAAGGAGAUAUACGAUAAAACCAAAAUAGAUGUAGAUGGCAGAAAAGAGCUGUACGAUCUGGGACGAGAGGAACUGAACAAAAUGUUUGAUGAGUUGGUCCAAUUCACCCAUAGCAUUGUCAACUUCAGUUCACUACCUUCAAAGGACCAAACAGCUCUGUUAAAAGCUGCCGACUUUGAUUUCAACAUGUUGGUGGACUAUCGUUGCGUAGAUGCAGACCGAGGAAUGGUGCUUAGUUACACUGGCAAACCAAUGGCAUUAAGCGAGGCCUGUCCCCAUGUAGAAAAAGAAACCCUCAAAGAGUGGGCCGAAUUCAGUAGAUCCCUCCAGAAGCUAAAGCUGACUCCUCGCGAGCAUGCGCUAAUGCUUGCUAUCUCUCUGACAUUUCCAGACAGAAGUCCAUGGCCACUUGAAGCUCAUGACGAAGUGGAGAAAAUUCAGAAUAAGUUGAUCAAAGCCUUGGAGAAGCUGGUUGCUGAGACAAACCAAAGGAGUGGGGGUGGUCGGUUUGCUAAAUUAAUGGACGUGUUCCUUCGCAUGCGUGGUAUGUACAAGGCGUACGAAGAUGCAGUCAAAGUAAUGUCCAAAGAUGAUUUUUUGAUUGAGUGCAUCCCGGAGAUUUUAUUUUAUUUAUAAGCUUACGGCUUUUCUUUGGCAGAUUAGAUUUUUUUUUUUGUAAUUGUGAUCAGAAACAAGGUGAUGCCAUUGUAUAGUAUUUGGGAGAGGGUGGGGGGGGGGGAUUAUAAGUGAAUUUUUUUACUAUUGAAAAAUUUAGAAAUGUCACCGUGUGCUUUGACGUCAUAUCACGUACCAGUGCUUUUUUUUUGGUUAACUUCUUUAACAUAUUUCAUGUAAUAAACAUUGUAAAUACCAUCUUAAUUGUGGUGUUUGAGUGUGAACUGUUUUUGAAAAAUAGACUUUUAAAAAGGUUAGCCGACAUAUAUAUAUGUUUUUUAUUUACUUUUGUGAAUUUUUUUAAUAUCCACUUUCAUACACCCAGUCAAUAGCUUAAGUUGUACAUGCAAUACUGACAGAGACGAUACUGGUUUUUUGUGAGUAGAGGUUCAGGAAUGGGUUUAUACCUGUUCAUGUAUAUUUUCUGUAAAUAUGACUGAAAAUAUUUUGCAUAAAAACGUUGGUAGAAACUAUAUCUAAAAAAACCUGUAAUGUUUAUGACAUACAUAUCCAUAGACCUUGUAAUGGAUAAAGGACGAUUAAUUGAAUUGAAUUUAGUUUACAUUGCAAAAGUAGAUGCACAUGUAAAUACUGUCAUUCCAAACCUUAUAUAUUUUUUUCAACAUUGGCUGACGACUCUUGCUUAUAUUGUACUAUGUAAAAAUAAAUCAUAAUGCCUGUAUUUGUCAUAGAAAAACAGUGUGUUUAUUUUUAUUAUUAAUAUUUUUGAGAAUGUUUACAGAGUUUUAGCUUUAAUUUAUAUGUUGUGAAUUUUGGAAAAUAAAAUGUCGUGACU
rnacentral:misc_RNA from 1 species